AACAGUUCACACACAUCUGUAUUUACUACCGAUAACAAUACACCUGCCGCCCAAUUAGCACCUCCAAAUGUUCAACACCGAUCAUCACCGCCGCCAACACCAUCACCAUCACCACGGCCUCCUUCAUCACCACCACCACCACCAUCACCACGCUUCUCCUCCUCCUCCGUCAUUCCGAAUAUUAUCACCUUCGGGCUUCCACACCACCACCACCACCACCACCACAAUCACGACCUCCCUCCCUCAUCACCGCCUAGCAUCACAUUCACCACCACCACCACCACCACACAUACAUAUACAUUCUCUAUAUCCGAAACUGACUACCACAUUUAUGUCCACUCCUGUUAUUUUUUUUUUUUCAGAGGCAACAUUUAGCAUUUUUUUGUUUGAUGUUCUUUUCUUUGUUUAUUUAUUCCCCUUUGAGAUGUUUACUUUACUGCGAAAAUAAUAACAAAUAACAUCACACAUCCCAUACGUUCUACAUUCAUUCCCUUUCACUUCCCUACAUUACCACCUACGCCCAUACGCCCUAUACCCAAUCCUUCAAUUUCACCAACACACUAACCCAUAUCUCCCACACUCACACCCACACGCCCUCUCCCACGCCUCGCCUAACUUCUAACCCACGCCCCUUUCCCCACACUUACAUCCACACGCCUUCUCCCCGUUUAUCCCAUGCCCUCCACCCACGCCUUUUCCACACCCAAGGCCUCCGCACGCCCAGCCACGCCUCGCCUAACUUCCCGCCGCCACCCCUGUUCAAUUCGACACAAAAUUGGUACAUUUAUGCUAAUCGUGCCACGUAAUUCACAGGCUGCCUCUGCUGUUGCUGGCGCUGUGUCGUGAGUUCUGUUGAGACUCGUUUACCUGUGCUGUCUACCGAGGGAUCGCGCAGGUAAAGGUGGUGGGCGGACAGGUGAGAUUUCUUGGGUUUCCAUUUUUUCCAUUUGUUUUCUUGUUUUCUUGUAUAGGUUCAUAUUGCUUUCUUUUUUCUUGUUAAUUAAGGUCCAUAUUGCUUUCUUUUUUCUUGUUAAUUAAGGUCCAUAUUGCUUUCUUUUUUCUUGUUAAUUAAGGUCCAUAUUGCUUUCUUUUUUCUUGUUAAUUAAGGUCCAAAUUGCUUUCUUUUUUCUUGUUAAUUAAGGUCCAUAUUGCUUUCUUUUUUCUUGUUGAUUAAGGUCCAUAUUGCUUUCUUUUUUCUUGUUAAUUAAGGUCCAUAUUGCUUUCUUUUUUCUUGUUGAUUAAGGUCCAUAUUGCUUUCUUUUUUCUUGUUGAUUAAGGUCCAUAUUGCUUUCUUUUUUCUUGUUAAUUAAGGUCCAAAUUGCUUUCUUUUUUCUUGUUAAUUAAGGUCCAAAUUGCUUUCUUUUUUCUUGUUAAUUAAGGUCCAAAUUGCUUUCUUUUUUCUUGUUAAUUAAGGUCCAUAUUGCUUUCUUGCUCAGGUCCAUAUUGCCUUUUUUUCUUGUGAAGGUCCAUAUUGCUCCCUUUUUUAUCUUGCUCAAGGCCGCAAAGAUACUGCUUCUACAAGGGUGACCAAAAGUCUCAACAAAAGUGGUAGAAAUCGGAAUUUUAACUACCCACCAAAUCCAUUAUGAGCUUAUACUACUAAUGAUAAACCACACCUUAGUACGGACGAGGAUGAACUUAAAAAAAAUGAUUAUGCUAAAACCCAAAUAAAUAAUAAACAAAUAGAAAUAGCACAAAAAAAAGAGAAUAAGCGCCAUGGGUGUGAAAACUUGGGAUCCUCCAGAGAACACAAAUAUUUAUAGACACACCC